AAAUUGAAGAGUUUGAUCAUGGCUCAGAUUGAACGCUGGCGGCAGGCCUAACACAUGCAAGUCGAACGGUAACAGGAAGCAGCUUGCUGCUUCGCUGACGAGUGGCGGACGGGUGAGUAAUGUCUGGGAAACUGCCUGAUGGAGGGGGAUAACUACUGGAAACGGUAGCUAAUACCGCAUAACGUCGCAAGACCAAAGAGGGGGACCUUCGGGCCUCUU
rnacentral:rRNA from 2 species